rnacentral:rRNA from 1 species
GAUGAACGCUGGCGGCGUGCCUAAUACAUGCAAGUCGAGCGAACAGACGAGGAGCUUGCUCCUCUGACGUUAGCGGCGGACGGGUGAGUAACACGUGGAUAACCUACCUAUAAGACUGGGAUAACUUCGGGAAACCGGAGCUAAUACCGGAUAAUAUAUUGAACCGCAUGGUUCAAUAGUGAAAGACGGUUUUGCUGUCACUUAUAGAUGGAUCCGCGCCGCAUUAGCUAGUUGGUAGGGUAACGGCUUACCAAGGCAACGAUGCGUAGCCGACCUGAGAGGGUGAUCGGCCACACUGGAACUGAGACACGGUCCAGACUCCUACGGGAGGCAGCAGUAGGGAAUCUUCCGCAAAGGGCGAAAGCCUGACGGAGCAACGCCGCGUGAGUGAUGAAGGUCUUCGGAUCGUAAAACUCUGUUAUUAGGGAAGAACAAAUGUGUAAGUAACUAUGCACGUCUUGACGGUACCUAAUCAGAAAGCCACGGCUAACUACGUG